CAGUAGCCGCGGUAAAACAGAGGAUGCAAGCGUUAUCCGGAAUGAUUGGGCGUAAAGCGUCUGUAGGUGGCUUUUCAAGUCCGCCGUCAAAUCCCAGGGCUCAACCCUGGACAGGCGGUGGAAACUACCAAGCUGGAGUACGAUAGGGGCAGAGGGAGUUUCCGGUGGAGCGGUGAAAUGCGUUGAGACCGGAAAGAACACCAACGGCGAAAGCACUCUGCUGGGCCGACACUGACACUGAGAGACGAAAGCUAGGGGAGCAAAUGGGAUUAGAUACCCGGGUAGUCCCUGUCUCUUAUAC
rnacentral:rRNA from 1 species